rnacentral:rRNA from 1 species
UACGUAGGUGGCAAGCGUUGUCCGGAUUUAUUGGGUUUAAAGGGUGCGUAGGCGGUCCUGUAAGUCAGUUGUGAAAUACGGCAGCUUAACUGUCGAGGUGCAAUUGAUACUGCGGGACUAGAGUACUGAUGAGGUAAGCGGAAUGGACGGUGUAGCGGUGAAAUGCUUAGAUAUCGUCCAGAACACCGAUAGCGAAGGCAGCUUACUAAGGAGUAACUGACGCUGAGGCACGAAAGUGUGGGGAUCAAACAGGA